rnacentral:rRNA from 1 species
UGAGGCCGAAAGGCGUAGGUGAUGGACAACAGGUUGAUAUUCCUGUACUACCGAUAACCGUUUGAGAGAAGGGAUGACACAGUAGGAUAAGCUAAGCACACUGUUGGUUAUGUGUGCCCAAGCAUUGAGGCAGUCAAAGUAGGCAAAUCCGCUUUGAUAAUGCUGGGAUGUGAUGGGGAGCGAAAUUUAGUAGCGAAGUAGCUGAUUUCACACUGUCAAGAAAAGUCUCUAUCGAGGUUAAAGGUACCCGUACCGCAAACCGACACAGGUGGGUGAGGAGAGUAUCCUAAGGCCAGCGAGAGAACUGUUGUUAAGGAACUCGGCAAAAUGACCCCGUAACUUA